UACGUAGGGCGCGAGCGUUGUCGUGAAUUAUUGGGCGUAAAGAGCUCGUAGGCGGUCUGUCGCGUCUGCUGUGAAAUCCCGAGGCUCAACCUCGGGCUUGCAGUGGGUACGGGCAGGCUAGAGUGCGGUAGGGGAGAAUGGAACUCCUGGUGUAGCGGUGGAAUGCGCAGAUAUCAGGAAGAACACCGAUGGCGAAGGCAGUUCUCUGGGCCGUAACUGACGCUGAGGAGCGAAAGCGUGGGGAGCGAACAGG
rnacentral:rRNA from 1 species